rnacentral:rRNA from 1 species
AUGGCUCAUUAUAUCAGUUAUAGUUUAUUUGGUGAAGUGUACUACUUGGAUAACCGUAGUAAUUCUAGGGCUAAUACAUGAGAAAGUCCUCUGGUGAGGUGUGUUUAUUAGAAUGAAAACCAUAUGCUUCGGCAUGAUAGUGAGUAAUAGUAACCUAUCGUAUCGCAUGCUUAAUGUAGCGAUGAGUCUUUCAAGUUUCUGCCCUAUCAGCUUUCGAUGGUAGUAUAUGGGCCUACCAUGGCAGUAACGGGUAACGAAGAA